CUUCGGGGUUCCUGGGUGUCACGCAAAUCCCGAACGAGCCCCCACAUGAAAGACCCCUGUGGGGAGACCCCCACUCAAGACUCGGGAUGGCGCUCACUCAAGGAAACAUGAAAAA
rnacentral:pre_miRNA from 7 species